ensembl:lincRNA
CAUAUUUUCCCUCCCAUCAGCAAAUAUUAUUUUCUUUUUCUUAUCUGAUAUUAAAAAUAUUGCAAUAAGGAAAUAUUUAAAAAGCAUUAUCUAAAACAUAUGUUAAAUCAUAUAUUACUUAAAAUUUACAUCUGUUUCAUCGGGCUACCAAAUUUCUUCCAUAGUGUAUUUCAUAAAGGAGAAGAUGCUGAUAAGAUCUCGUUUAAAUGGCUUGCUAAUACAAGAAGCAGAUCAUUUUAAAUGGACCUUACAUCUUUAUAGGAUGUUAGAAAUGAAGACAUUACCUCAAAAUCAGAAAACCUUGGCUGACAUACUCAAGGCUAAAAUGCAGUCAGCGGAAAUGGAAACACUUCAACUCUGCCCCUGUGGCAAGAAUGGCUUCCCUUCAGACAAUCUGGUCAGAUUCUUUAUGGACCCAAUGGGAGGUACAUACUCGGGGCAUUCCGUUUAUGUUUUUCCUGACCUACCUGCUCCUUAGAGCUACAUCCUAAGACUGCUGCUUGUGUAAAACCUUUCAGAACUAUGCAUCAUUGAUCUAGCCAUAAUCACACUGAUCUGUUGGCUUUUCACUAAACUUUACUUAAGUGAAAACUAACCCUCUCCUUCCUGUUUGGGGUUAUGAUUGACUGUAUGUCUUUUGAAUGGUGUGAAGACGCUGGCUGUGAAACUGGAACACUGCUUUUUAAAUGUCUUUAAAAGAAGGAAAGAAAAAUGUGUACCCUCAACUACCACAGAGCAAGAUAAAAGAAAAUAAUGACAGCAUGCACUGAGUUGGCAAUGUUGACCUUUAGAAAAUUUUUUUAGAACAUCUCAACAGUUUGAAAAUGACUUUCUCUUUUAUUUUUCCCAAAUUUAUUCUUUUAAAAAUACAAGAAUUUCGUAAGGAUGUAUUUUAAUUUAUUGAUGCAAUUUUUCAAUUAUGCUACACAUGUAUUUAUUGAGAGCCUCUUAAAUAUUUUUGUUUUUUAGAAAACAAACAUGUCACUUUCUGCCUGAGAUAUAGAACUAGGACAGGUAAAUAAAAAGAAUAGGAAACAAGAGGCCAUAAGGACAUUAAAAAUUGGUCAGAAAGACCAGCAGGAAUACUAGCAAGGUAUGGGCAUGAGAUCUAGUAUAGAGUGUUACCAGCUUUUACUUUUCAUCUCAUCCCACUCCCAAAUCACUUAGACUCUGUUGAGCAGGUAUAUAUGAAGUUAAGCUUUAUACACAAUAUGCAGGUAAGAAGUUAUACAAAUGUAUAGAUAUAAAAACCAUGUUAGGUGUCUUUUAUGUGGGCAGCACUGAUUUCAGAUGCUAAGCUUUUACUAUACAUGUCUAUAAUUUUAUGACACUAGGUUAGUAUAAGUAGUUAGUAAUAUUUAUGGUCCUCACUCAUUUCUCCCUGCACAUUCCAUGCAUGUAGGUAAUUUUUCUACAUCGAAUAGCUUAUUCUUUUAUAAGGAAUGGGAAUGGAAAGGGGUAAUUAUCAUUUAGUUGCUUAGUACUGUAUUUUUAUGUAUGCAAAGGCAGACCUCUUGCCCCACCUUUCAAAACAGCAUUCCUAAACAUCACAGUGCACCCAGGGCUGCUGAAUGAGGGCAUGUGUGCUGACCCGAAUUAUUAGCACAUCCAUCUGUCCAGCAACACUAUGAAAUACUUUCCAUUUUUCACAUUACACAUCUUUUAUGUGAAAACAUACACACACAUAAUGGCAGCUUUAAUCAACAGUUUAGCUCUGGAUAAAAAUUAACAUUGACCAUAAUGAUUUCCUUUCACAUAUUAUUCUAAUUCUAAAAUUAGUAAAAAUAAAAGAGUGGUUAAAUAAAUAUUUUAAAAAUCUUGAUUCCUUUCUCAUUUUUCUCUAGAUCCUUCUUUUCUUACAUUCAACCUUGUUUAUAAAGGUUGUUAUAUAAAGAAAUAAUGCCUGUUAGUUAUAAAAAUGGUCUGGUUGCGUAUAAGUAAAGGCAGAUGAGUCACUUUGCCAUUAUCCCAGGUGAGUUCAACAAAUAGGUUAUAGGUUAGAUUUCAUGCAGGAAUCAAAACAGCGGCUCUAAUACAUCAUCCCAAAGGAAUUUUUUAGCAGCAUAUUAGUCUGUUAUGCAACAAUCAACUGUGGCUCUAGUUAAGGAAACAAGUUUUAUUUCAUAAUGUGAGGAUUGACUUCUGAUACCCAGAAAAGAGUGAAAUAAAGAGCCUUGAGAACAUAUCAUCUUAAAUUCUUCCCUGGAAAAAUAACCUGGUGAUUGAUUAUACCAAAGAACUGAGAUCCCUGCAGUGUUCAAGCUACCGUAUUUAAUGUCAUUUGAUUCCGC